GAGCUGCGACCCGCUAGGCCGGGAGCCGACUGCGCCCUCAAACCCCGCGGCGGCUCCCUCCCCGGAGGGGGCGCGCGAGGCCACCACCGAGAGCCUCUUCCUAGAGGAGCCGGAAGCAUCGGGAGCCGCGGUACCCGCCCAUCUUCCGGCCAGGAUGUGUGGUCCGGGGUUCCUAUUGAUGGUUAGGAGCAGGAUUUCGGGGAUGAAGGCGGCAGCAGCAAGAGGAGGCUGCGACUGCGGACCCCAGAUUCGUCCCCCUCCACCACACACAACGCCAAGACGGGCCCCAGGAGGGCGUGAAGAGAAGACUUCCUUUCCUCUCCUCUCGCCUCCUGGCGCUGGCCGUAUGAAGCUGUCUCCCAGAAGCAUUAGCAGAGGAGCCCUGUGGGAGAAAUGAGGAGUGACCCAAAAGAAACUUGCUCAAGGACAGCCUCCUUAAAGCAGAAUUCCAUAUACCCCAACCUGCAAAAGAAGACUUUACGUGAAAUGUUACAGCCCAUAACAGCUGCAGCCUUGACUAUUAAAUCUCAAAGGGAAUAAAAAAGUCACCUGACAGUUAAAGCAGAGGACUAUACUUGGGGCCAAGAAUAUGGGCUACUUCAUAUGGAAGAACUCCAGCAACCGGGAGGUAGCUCAUCAGAACGUUAGGCAUUUCUGCUACCAGGAGACACCUGGACCCUGUAAGGCUGUGAGCUGAUUCUGGGAACUUUGCCAUCAGUGGCUGAGGCCAGAGACCCACACCAAAGAACAGAUCCUGGAAUUGCUGGUGCUGGAGCAGUUCUUGACUAUCCUGCCAGAGGAGCUCCAAGCCCAGAUGUUAGAGCAUCAGCCAGAGAACAGAGAGGAAAUGGUGAUCAUAUCGGAGGAUUUGGAAAGAGAGCUUGAUGAAACAGAAUGUCGGGUGUGAUUAAAAGGCACAUGAACACCCUAGCCAGAGAAAGAAGCAGCCAUACACCCAGGGAAGCAAGGUUGCAGAGCUCAAUCUCCACUCCCUCUCGCUUGAUAUUUGCAGCCAGUGCAUGUGGUAUGGGACUGCACUCAGAAUAUCAUCAUCAAGCAGCACAGGAGCCACCAACUAUUCCUUUCCAGCCAAUGAAAAGACAGCUUAAAUGGGAAUAUCCAGAAUUCCAGGCCAUUCAUGAGCAAGGUGAGCAUCGCAGUCCAUCUCGAGAGAAAGGGAGUGGUUGAAAGCUCUGCCAGCUACCCAGGCUGAACAGCAUCAGGAGCAUCUCAGACAUAAACCACCAUGCUGAAUCAGAUGGAAGGUCCAUCUCCUGAAGUACUACAUUCCAGCUUACGUGGCACCAACAAGACCUGAUGCAGAAUGGCGUAAUGCUGUCCUCCCUCACAUCAGCCUCAGCAGGAAGUUGUACACCAGCUUCCGUAAUUUCCUUUAAAAAGCUAUUCUAGGCCACUGUCAUUAAAAAAAACCUUUACUUUUUUGUAAUAUUUUCAUAAUAUAUAACUUCAUAGCCCAACCUCUACUACACACUUAGUGCUUUCUCUGUAAAGUAGAAUUUACUUUUUUGUCUUAAAAUUACCUUUUCUGAAUCCCCUGGAUCACCUAAAUCCAUUUUGUACCCUCUUUUCUGUUCCCUUUUAAUAGAAGCUACAUCAUUGACCUGAUCUUCUAGACUCAUCUAAACAUUUUUAUUCUUUAGUCCCUGUUGUCUUUAAUUCAAACAUUACACAUAAUUCUAAAAUAUCCCUUAGGUCAGUCAUCUUCAGUAUUACUUCCUCAUUGGACCCAUUACUUCCAGCUUCAGUAUGCUUGAAUUUGUCCUGACUCUCAAUAGAAACAAAUUAUUUUUCUCUUACCUGUCACUUUCCACAUGCUAUCUUCAGACCUUCCACUCACUUUCAUCCUCCUCUACUUUUGAUACUCAUUUUUACUCCCAUUGCUCAACACAACUCUCUUCUUGAUUGUUCCUUUAUUCUAUCUCUUCCUUUGCUCAGUGGUAUGGACUGAAUGUUUGUGGUCCCACCAACAACCCCUAAACAAUUUAUACAUUGAAGCCCUAACCUCCAAUGAGUUGGUAUUAUAGAUGGGGCCUUUGAGAGGUAAUUAGUUCUUGAGGGCAGGGCCCUGUAUGAUAGGAUUAAUGCCCUUUUAAAAGCAGUCGCCAGAGAGCUUGAUAUUUCUCCUAUGCACACGUGAAGGUAAGGUCUUGUGAGCACAACAGCAAAAAGGUGAUCAUCUGAAAGCCAGAAGGAGAGCCCUCACCAGAAACCAACCAUGUUAGUACCCUGAUCUCAACCUCCAGAACUGUGAGAAAAUAAAUUUCUCUUAUUUAAACCACCAGUAUAGUAUUUUGUUAUGGCAGCCCAACUUAACACCACUUCAUGUCCCAAUUCUGUGGCAAUAAUGUGCAUGAGAGGUCUCCUUCCAUUUACCAGCUAUCUUAUUCCUUGCUUACAAGGAAUAUAUUCUUACAGAUAUCACAAACAGGGAAGACAGUUAUCUGCAUGGGGCAUAGCUUGCUUGCUUAAAGAAAAGGACAGAAGUUUAAUACUAGUGAAGAACCAUUUACAUUUUCUAAGGGCCAUUUUUUCACAGAAAACCAUUGUGGGCUCCCAAAAGUACAAGUAACCCAAUUUAGUAUUUUAUUCAAAGUGAAACAUACACUUAGGAAUAGAAUUCAUGAAAAAUUUUACAAAUAUAAGAUGCAUACUCCAUUCACAGUGGCUAUAUCCUAGAAAAUCCCUAAGUAUUACUCUGUACUAUAUUUUUUUUCCUUAAUUUGGGGAAACUUUAGUUACUGAGAUUAUACCCUUGAGAUACGGAGAUCUUUAUGAUUCAAGACGCAGACUUAACUAGCCUAGUUUUCCUUUUCUUUACUCUGGCUCCACAUCUUCCAAAUGAGUCUAGUUGGAAACUCUCACCCCUUAGUUUCCUCCCAGUCAGCACCAGUUUGGGGGAGUUAAGGAAUUAUUUUUCAUUUCCAGCUCUGGCUCUAAAUAAUGUGUCUCCAGCAGUGAAAUGUAGGCCAAGAAAGGAACCCACUUCUCAGAAGCAUUGGAAAAGGCAAAUUAUGAAGGUUCAUAAUACAAUAUAAUAAAAAUUCUUUAGUCAUCCACUAUUACAGAUACUAAGCCAAAUUUUAAAUUCAUACUGUAUAACAAAUUUGAAUUUAGAAAUAAUUCCUCUUUAUUCUUUUCAUUUCAACCCAAGGUUACUUACUGAUAUAGUUCAGAUAUGUGUCUCCACUCAAAUCUCAUGUUGAAUUGUAAUCCCCAAUAUUGGAGAUAGGGCCUGGUGGGAGGUGACUGGAUCAUGGAAGUGGAUCCUUCAUGAAUGGUUUAGCACCACCUUCUUGGUACUGUUCUGAUACUGAAUUCUUGUGUGAUCUCGUUGUUUACAAGUGUGUGGCAUCUCUCCCUUCUCUCUCUUGCUCUUGCUCCUGCCAUGUAAGAAUCCUGCUCUCCCUUUGCCUUCUGCCAUAAUUGUAAGUUUUCUGAGGCCUCCUCAGAAGCCAAGCAGAUACCAGCAUCAUGCUUCCUGUACAGCCUACAGAACCAUGAGCCAAGUAAACCUCUUUUCUUUAUAAAUUACCCAGUCUCAGGUAUUUCUUUAUAGAAAUGUGAGAAUGAACUAAUACACUAACUCUCAAACAUAACUUUUUAUGUAUCCACAUCAUUUCCUAAAAGUUUGUAGAAAUCUUAAAAUAUUAUAUUUUAAUUCCGUCUUUCCCAUCUGAAAGCACUGACAUUCCACAUUUUUUCAAGAAAAAAUAUUUGGUUAGAAACACAGUCAAGUUUGUCUUCUGAGUGUGUACAUUUUAUAAAGAAAAUAAAAAACCUUUUAUAAUAUAAACCCUGGGAAAGAUUUUGGUCCAUAGCCUAGAAACACAUUUGUAAUAAGUUGCUUAAGUGAAAUUCAUGACAUUUUAGCAUGUAUUUUAUUCUUGUUUAUUUCUUUACUGAUAUGUCAUACACUCUUUUUGUUCUAACAUUUUGAUUUGGCAGAGCCAGUACCCACCUAUACUACAACUUUCUUAUGCCAGCACAAGAAUGCUAUAUUCAAAAUGCUUUCCAUGUAUUACCUUCUUUUAUCCUCAGAUAUCCUUGGCAGAUAGUAGGGCAGAUAUUACGCUCAUCUUAUUGAAGAAUAUUCUGGGUAUAAGGAAGUCAAAUAACUUGUCAACAGUUACAAGGUUAUGAGGUAAAGAAGCAAUAAUCUCCAAAGCUACAGCUAUUCAUACAAAGACAAUACAUAAACCGUUACAUUAUAAGUGUCUAGUGCACUGCAAAGAAGACUUAUGAGUGUUUAGCUAGAAGACUGAAGGAAUUCAGGAAAUGCCACUCCAAAAUAUGCCAAUUUGGUAUAUGGGUUAAUUCUAGCCAAAGGCACUUGAAAAACAACAAAUGUAAGGAGAAGCUUUCUCUGAACUCCCCCUAUCUGCCUAAAGACAGAUCCUCCAAAAGGAGCUCAGUUGUCAUCAAUCCCCUCCCUGGGAGUUUCAUCAAAUGGGGAAGAUUAACUCUAUCACAGGAGAAGAGGCUAGAAGUUGACACCACACCUAGACAAACUUCUUCAAAAACUAUUAUCUCUUCUUCUGAGGACCCAAUAAUCUUUCCCAAAAAUUAUUUCUCCCCUAAAUUGCCUAUAUCUCACCUCCUCUCCCCUGUGAAGUAGAGAUGUAAACUCCUGAAUCUCACUGGUUGUUUAGGUGUAUGCUUUCUUUUCUAUACUGCCCUCAUGCACAUAAUAAAAUUGUAUAUCUUUUCUCAUGUUAA